AUUGAACGCUGGCGGCAGGCCUAACACAUGCAAGUCGAACGAGUGGCGGACGGGUGAGUAAUGUCUGGGAAACUGCCUGAUGGAGGGGGAUAACUACUGGAAACGGUAGCUAAUACCGCAUACCAUCGGAUGUGCCCAGAUGGGAUGAGCUAGUAGGGGGGGUAAUGGCUCACCUAGGCGACGAUCCCUAGCUGGUCUGAGAGGAUGACCAGCCACACUGGAACGUAGACACGGGCCAGAGUCCUACGGUAGGCAGCAGGGGGGAAGAUUGCACAAUGGGCGCAAGCCUGAUGCAGCCAUGCCGCGUGUAUGAAGAAGGCCGUCGGGUUGGAAAGUACUUUCAGCGGGGAGGCGUUACCCGCAGAAGAAGCACCGGCUAACUCCGUGCCAGCAGCCGCGGUAAUAC
rnacentral:rRNA from 1 species